UACGUAGGGUGCAAGCGUUGUCCGGAAUUAUUGGGCGUAAAGAGCUCGUAGGCGGUCUGUCACGUCUGCUGUGAAAACUCGGGGCUUAACCCCGGGCCUGCAGUGGGUACGGGCAGACUAGAGUGCGGUAGGGGAGACUGGAAUUCCUGGUGUAGCGGUGAAAUGCGCAGAUAUCAGGAGGAACACCGGUGGCGAAGGCGGGUCUCUGGGCAGUAACUGACGCUGAGAAGCGAAAGCGUGGGGAGCGAACAGG
rnacentral:rRNA from 1 species